rnacentral:tRNA from 1 species
GCCUUCGUGCUGCAGUGGUCAGCACGCUCGAUGCGUAACCGAGAGGUCCGUGGUUCGAUUCCCGGCGAAGAUG